rnacentral:tRNA from 1 species
UGAGAUGUACGCAAGUGGACAACGCGGCCGGAUUGUAGCUCCGGUGCUUUCGAGCUUCGUGGGUUCGAAUCCUACCAUCUCAA